rnacentral:lncRNA from 1 species
GUCAGGGUUGGAAGAAGAAUGUAAAAUAAUAUAAAACACAAAAAUCAGAUAAUUGUGAAAAUAUGGAAGUAUAAAAAAGAGAUAACACAUGAGAUCAUGGAAGUGGCCUGUAGGCCACAUCCACCCUUUCCCAGUCCCCCGGGACACUGCUGCUACUUCAACAGCUGUAGUUUCCCUCUGGGUUGACGUGAUAUAUCAAAGUUCAAUUACUUACAUAUUGGUUGAUAGCAGUAUGCCAGAUGUCCCCAUUUGGUCAAAGGGCCAAAAAGUUUAUGUAGUCAUGGAUGCUGAUUUGGUGGUUGGAAAAACCAUCAUAAAAGGCUGUAGGCUGGGCAUGGUGUUCCAUAGUCAUGAUGUACCAUAGGCUAUUUAACCAUUCUGCUAUUUUCAUUCUUAGAUCAAGAUAUUUUCUACUAUAGAAUAGCUUUCUGUUUUCAGUUUUUCUGGUUUUGGUUUUUUGUUCUUGCUUGGUUUUCAAAACAGAGAUAAUACACUUUGGAUUAUAUUGUCUAAUACCUAUAUCUAUGUCAGUAAGGGUUUAGGAAAGAUAAUCUCUCUCCCAUUGGCUUCCCAAAGGUACUUUUUAGAAAAAUCCAUGACUUAUCUGAGAAGUUAAAGAGAAGAAUAUCUUUAGCAAAGUAUUACAAUAAUAUAUUUAUCAGGCCAGGCGGAUAGCUCACACCUGUAAACUCAUCACUUAAGGAGGCUGAAGUGGGUGGAUCACUUGAGGUCAGGAGUUUGAGAACAGCCUGGCCAACAUGGUGAAACCUCACCUCUACUAAAAAAAAAAAAAAAAAGCCUAGUGUGGUGGCAGAUACUUGUACUCCCAGCUACUCGGGAGGCUGAGGCACGAGAAUCGCUUGAACCCAGGAGGCAGAGGUUGCAAUGAGGCAAGAUUGCACCACUGCACUCCACCCCGGGUGACAGCAAGACUCUCUCUCAAAAAAUAUAUAUAUUUAUUAAUUUAUAUUUCAUCUAAAAUUCUAAAAAUGAAAAUAAGUAAUUCCCUCUACUGAAUAAUGCUUUAUUCCCUUGCUUACAUAUGAAGAACAAAUAUCAGUAACUAACUUUCAUCUGAUUGAAACUAUGAAUCACAUAGCUAAUCUGCUGGAAAGCGCAGAAUCUAAUUGUGGCCCAUCUGUAUUUUACAAAUAUAUAGGGCUUUGCCCAGGAUGAUUUAUUCCCUGAUUUUUUAUUUUUCUAACCUCAAUUUUCCCUUUUCUCCAAUUUUCUCACAUAUAUUUGUUCUUUUGCAUGUCUUUUUUUUUUUUUUUUUUUGAGGUGGAGUCUCACUCUGUCACCCAGGCUGGAGUCACUGGCGCAAUCUCAGCUCACUGCAAGAUCCACCUCCCGGGGUCGUGCCAUUCUCUUGCCUCAGCCUCCCGAGUAGCUGGGAUUACAGGCACCUGCCACCACGCUCAGCUAAUUUUUGUAUUUUUAGUAGAGAUAGAGUUUUGCCAUGUUGGCUGGAAUUCCUGACCUCAGGUGAUCCACCUGUCUCGGCCUCCCAAAGUGUUGGGAUUACAGGCAUGAGCCACCACACCUGGCCAUUUCUGUUGUUUUAAAUCAUGCAGUGCAGCCGCAGGAAACGAAUACACUGUCCCUCUAUAUCUUCUUAAGGUUUAUAAUUAUAUACAUAUAUAUAUAUAUCCUUCUUUUUUUUUUUUUUUUUUUGAGAUGAGGUAUCACUCUCACCCAGGCUGGAGUGCAGUGGCAUGAUCUCAGUUCACUGCAACCUUCGCCUCCCAGGUUCAAGCAAUCCUCCCACCUCAGCCUCCUGAGUACUUGAGGCUAUAGGCACACCACCACGUCCGGCUAAUCUUUGUUUUUGUUUUUUGUUUUGUUUUUGGUAGCAACAAGGUUUCGUCAUGUUGCCUAGGCUGGUUACGAACUCCUAGCUCCAGCGAUCCUCCUGCCUUAGCCUCCCAAAGUGCUGGGAUUACAGGCCUGAUCCACCUGGCCCAGAGGUUUAUAAUUUCUAACCUGAGAAGUACAGUCACAUGAGUGAUCAAAGUUUAUAAUUGUUAACCCGAGAAUCAGAGUAAUAUGAAUAAUCAAAAGAAGGACUAUUUGUGAGUUCUUACAGAUGAUUAAGAAUUAGUGUGAAUCUGAUGUUGUAAACUUAAGAAGUGAAGAAAGGAGUCACAAAUGCAGGGCCAUUGUUACUAAUUUCUCAUAUUUAAAAUACAUGUUGCUGAAUCUUGAAGAUAAAAUUUCUGAAGAACUUUGCUUUCCUACCAUGCCAUUUACAUUUAUUAAUGGUAUUACCCUAACGGCUAUCUAGUAUGGUUCAAAUAACACAGUGGGAGACCCACAAAAAGAAUUUGUAAGCUUGUGAGUCUAGAAUCAUAUAUAUAUAUAUGUGUGUGUGUAUAUAUAUAUAUAUAUAUAAUUAUUAUUAUUAUUAUUUUGAGACGGAGUUUCACUCUUGGUGCCCAGGCUGGAGUGCAGUGGCAAGAUCUCAGCUCACUGCAACCUCCGCCUCCCAGUUUCAAGUGAUUCUCCUGCCUCAGCCUCCCUAGUAGCUGGAAUUACAGGCAUGCACCACCACGCCCAGCUAAUUUUGUAUUUUUAGUAGAGACAGGGUUUCACCAUGUUGGGCAGGCUGGUCUCGAACUCCUGACCUUGUGAUCUGCCCGCCUCAGCCUCCCAAAGUGCUGGGAUUACAGGUGUGAGCCACCGUACCCGGCCUAGAAUCAUAUUUUGUUCAAGCUGAAACUUUAAAUGAAUUGCUGACUUAUGAUGUAAGGAUAAACAUACUUUUUAAAGCAGUAGUUGCAAAAACAGUCUAUCAAUUCUGCCCUUCAGUCCUUUAAAUGCUCAGCAAAUUACUGACAGUUACAUUCGUGGAAAUAAAUCCUUAUUGGAACAAAGCUUCUCUUUUCUUUCCUUUUUAACUUAUUUAUGAAAAUCAGAAUAAAAUACACAUAUACAAGGUGCUGCCUCUAAGUCUUGCUCAGCACCAUAUUAUGAUUAUCAAUUACUUUUUAUUGAAGGCUCAUAUGAGUCUGUGAACAAAUAUAUACUUUCAACUUACCUGUGGAGGUAGGAAAAAACCCUAGAGCACAGAAGUCAUUAAAUGCAUCUACAAUGGAUGCAUAAUGUAGGCCUCACAGCAGCUGAUAGCUAUGGCCCAACUCAUUUUUCUAUAAUGAAAGGGCAGGAAGAUGGCCAAAUCUGUCUGAUAUAAACAAGAUGACGAGGAUUUUGUGGCUGCCUCCACAGAGUAUGCAUCAAUGUUGUAUUGAUUCAUACUUUCUUUCAUUAGAAUAUAUACCUUCAGCACCAUUGAUCUUUAUUUCCAAAAAGAAUAGAAAGCAUUUUUAUAGGGUUUUCGCAAGUAUGGUUUUGUGGAUAAGCCUCUUAUAAAUCUUUAAGUAAAUGCAUUUCAUAAUUCUAAAUUUUAAGUGUGAUUUCAGUUAAAAAUAAAACCAAAACCUUCUUCACAAUAGCACUAGACAAUAAAUAUUUGUUGAAUGAAUAAAUGGAAGGAUUAAUGACUUUAUUCAUUAUGAAUCCCUACGUUAUUUCUACCCACCUUGCUUCCUUUGUAUUGUAAUUUCAUUUUGUCUAUUAAUCUGUUUUUAGGGAGAGAAUGACCCCGGGGUAGUGAUGCAGCUAUAGUGGCAUUACAAUUAUAUUCCUCACAGGAAUUUAAAAGUUGGCAUUGUGGUUUCAUUUAUAGACACCACUAGACUGUGAAUGCUUCACUGUAGAGCCUAGCACAGUGCCUGAAAUGUCCAGUGAAUGUUCCCUGCUUCAGUCUAGGUUGUUGUUUCAUUUAGUCAGAGCAUCAAAGAAAACACUCCCAUCUUUAAAAAUUGGAUAAGUGUAAUCCUAAAACCAAAAAGUGAAAUAAAAUUUAAGGUAUGGUGGAUAGCUUAUCAAACAGGAGAUACAGCAGAUGGUGGCAUGGUUAUGUCUGCCUUCUUUCUUUCAUUCUAAAUAGAUGUCUUCCAUCAUACACUUUGGAUGAAGCUAUUUCAAGUGCAGGUGUGGGAUGUUGGCUUAGGAUAAAUUACUCGGCAUCAAGCGAUCCCUAAUGUUACAAAGGCGAAGACAGGUUAAAAUGAGCAACACGGUGGCUUGUGCCUGUAAUACUAGCUACUGGGGAGGCUGCAGCAGGAGAAUUACUUGAGGCCAGGAGUUCGAGUGUGCAGUGAGCUAGGAUUGGGCUCCUAUACUUCACCUGGGCAACAGCAAGACCCUAUCUCUAAAAUAAUAAAAUGAACAACAGGGACAAACUUUAAGACAAGAAGAAAAAGGAAAGACAGCAUGCAAUUGCACUAUAACAUCUUUGAGACGCAUGGAGGAGAUGGUCAUUGUUACCAGAUAGGUCUUGCCAUAUGCCUAAUGGGGACAGAAAAGUGGUAGGAUACACAGAUGAGCUGUUUUAGUCUUUAGUAGUACAAACCAACUGGUUUUACCUCUUUUUUUUUUCUCCACACCAAUAACUCCGUCAGGCUUGAUUCCACAUGCACCUGUUUCUUGCGGCAGCAUGGCCCAGUAAUGCCAGAAGUCUGAAUC